rnacentral:rRNA from 1 species
GAUCAUGGCUCAGGAUGAACGCUAGCUACAGGCUUAACACAUGCAAGUCGAGGGGCAGCAUUUCAGUUUGCUUGCAAACUGGAGAUGGCGACCGGCGCACGGGUGAGUAACACGUAUCCAACCUGCCGAUAACUCGGGGGAUAAACCCUUUCGAAAGAAAAGAUUAAUACCCGACUGGCAUAAUUUAAGUAACCGGCCAUGGUCUUAUUAUUUAAAGAAAUUACGGUUAUUCGAUGGGAGGUGNGUCUCU